UAUCCCUCACUGGCACCCACCCUCGUCUUCUCUAACCCUAGCCAUCUUUCCACCGCCGCCACCCACCCCUCGUCUUCUCCUCCAUUUCCCCCAACCGCCGCCAUCGCCACUGCCCACCAAAAACUUACUCCUCUCUUUCCUUCCAUCUCGUCAGAUCCCGAUUUCCCGAUCCUCCCUUCUCUCUCCGAUUCCGCAUAGAGCCAGAUCCCCACCUUCUCCGUGACCCAAUAUACCGUGAACAAUGUCCUCGGCCGCGGCGGUAGCGCCAGUGUGCCCAAUAUGCCGACAUGGCCGGCCUCGGCGGCGGCGCGCGACCUGGGAUGGACCACUUCAUGUCACCGGAAGAUCUGCCCUCCUGGUCUUCGGAUCUUGUCAUAGGCCAAACCAGUCUGGGUCGGAUGUGGAGAUCAAGGCGAUGGAAGCCUUCGUCAUCGAUGAUUUCUAGCUAGCGGUCGAGGUCUACGUCAACUGCAUCAGCGCCAUCUUCGAUAUUUAGCGCGCGCACGAGUCUAUCAGCGGCGCUCGCAAGAGCGGCGAUGCACUCAUCUCCUCCGAGGAGUUCAUGGUCAUGGUGGCCUUAGGUGGCGCCUGCUUCGCCGACAUCGCGUGCGCCAGAUCUGAGGUACACACGAUGUGACAUAGUUCACGGCGGAUCUGGUCACGGGGUCACCGAACCACAACUUCACCAGGCCAGCUCGCCAUCACCAACCUCCCCGUGUGGUAGCCCGUGCUUUUUAGCAGGUAUCCACAUCUGUGAAGAAGAGGAAGGGGUACAAUCAGUCACCUCCUGAUUUGGAGGAGGACGUGAUGUUGCUGAUGAGCUGGAGGGCAAGUGAGAAGGUUGCUAGCGACGAGGAUGUGAAGGAGUAGACCUGAUGCUUACCUGUGUGAUGGAGCGCAUCAAACACGGCCACGGCAUCGCGUUUGCAGUGUGAGUUCUCCGCAGCGGCACUUCCUUCUAUGGAGUAGAUAAGUGUUUGGUUUUCUUUGUUAUCAAGUUGAUAGGCCAUGUUACCGUGACGUUAUUCUGUGACAUGGAAUCUAUGGUCUGCAUAGCAUUGUAUGAGCAUAUGGUUCAGUCUAUGUUAUGUUCCUUAAUGGUCACCGCUGUACAUGUUCCUUUCUGUUUGGAGUCUGAUAUAAGCGAUAAUGAUCUCUGUAAAAUUAGUAAUGUCCCAAGUCAUGCAUUCUCUGAAGAAGUACAUGCUUAUAUUUGAGCGAAUUUUUUUUUAAGCGAUGCAGUAGACUAGUAGUAUUGUUUAAUGAAUUAUUCUUAUUCUCAUGGUCUCGGUUGUAUACAUUGUUGAUAUACUAUACAUCAUAUUUUCCUCCAGUAGCAGUAGUAUUACUACUAGUUUACUAUAUAGUCAUAUAGUAUACCACAUGUAUACAUGAUAUUUUCCUCCAGUAGCAGUAUUACUAAUGGUUUAUGUAUAGCCAUAUAAGUAUACCAUGUCUAAAAAAAUUCGUUUCUAUCAUCAAUUUGGUAGCCCAGGUCCUCAAGUACUUAAUAUGUACAUCAUGAGCUUUUAUAACUUAUUUUGAGUUUGCUUUUAACACCUUGGCCUUGUUAUUCGAGAAGAUGCCACUGGCAACAUACUUGGCCACAGGUGAGUUCUUAUCUUGGGUACAAUCUUGAUUCUGCUGGUGGUGUAUUGGCUUACUUGGAAGUUGUAUGUAGUAGUCAAAGGCAAAUAUUUCUUUAGCAAAUGAGGUUAUUCUGCUCCGCAUGUUUGCUUAUUUUGUUUGGUCAAGUGUCUAUAUUGUUUCUAUAAAAGGCAAUUCUGAAAUUUGAUAUUUUCGAACUGUAGUCCAGCUUGUUCUGUAAUGUGUGUUUCUUAUAAUGAACAUUCUAUUAUUUUGACGCUGCAAUUGUAGAAGAACUAUGACGAUAUCUUUCUGACAUGUUUGCUUAUCUCACAAUUUUUAAAAACUUUCGAAUUG